AACGAACGCUGGCGGCAGGCCUAACACAUGCAAGUCGAACGCACCGCAAGGUGAGUGGCGCACGGGUGAGUAACACGUGGGAAUGCAUCCUUUGGUUCGGAAUAACGUCUGGAAACGGACGCUAAUACCGGAUGAGCCCUAUGGGGGAAAGAUUUAUCGCCGAAGGAGCAGCCCGCGUCUGAUUAGGUAGUUGGUGGGGUAAAGGCCUACCAAGCCGACGAUCAGUAGCUGGUCUGAGAGGAUGAUCAGCCACACUGGGACUGAGACACGGCCCAGACUCCUACCUGAGGCAGCAGUGGGGAAUAUUCGACAAUGGGCGCAAGCCUGAUCCAGCCAUGCCGCGUGAGUGAUGAAAGCCUUCGGGUUGUAAAGCUCUUUCGCACACGACGAUGAUGACGGUAGUGUGAGAAGAAGCCCCGGCUAACUUCGUGCCAGCCGCCGCCGUAACAC
rnacentral:rRNA from 1 species